UACAGGAGGGGCAAGCGUUAUUCGGAAUUAUUGGGCGUAAAGGGCGCGUAGGCGGCUUGGCAAGUGGAUGGUGAAAUCCCUCGGCUUAACCGAGGAACUGCCGUCCAAACUGCUUUGCUUGAGACCGGGAGAGGUGAGUGGAAUUCCCAGUGUAGCGGUGAAAUGCGUAGAUAUUGGGAGGAACACCAGUGGCGAAGGCGGCUCACUGGACCGGUACUGACGCUGAUGCGCGAAAGCGUGGGGAGCAAACGGG
rnacentral:rRNA from 1 species